rnacentral:misc_RNA from 1 species
AACAUCGCGCACCUGCGGGAACCUGCGGAAGGAUCAUUACAGAGUUGCAAAACUCCCUAAACCAUUGUGAACGUUACCUAAACCGUUGCUUCGGCGGGCGGCCCGGGUCCUUCCCGGCGCCCAUCGGCCCUCGCGGGCGCCCGCCGGAGGUAAACCAAACUAUUGCAUUGUAUGGCCUCUCUGAGUCUUCUGUACUGAAUAAGUCAAAACUUUCAACAAUGGAUCUCAGAUCGGAAGAGC